rnacentral:rRNA from 1 species
GACCCACGNUUCAACGGGCCGCGGUAUCCUGACCACGCGAAGGUAGCGUAAUCAAUUGUCUCUUAAAUGGGGACUUGUAUGAAUGGCAUCACGAGGAUUUAACUGUCUCCCCUCUCUAAUCUGUGAAACUAAUCCCCCUGUGAAAAAGCAGGGAUACCCCUAUAAGACGAGAAGACCCUGUGGAACUUUAAACAAGUAACAAUUGCCUCUCCCCUCCCCCCUCCCAGGAGUUUAAACCCCCCCCCCGCACCGGGUCUACAAGUUUUCAGUUGGGGNGACUAUGGNGAAAAACCAAUCCUCCAU